AUUGAACGCUGGCGGCAGGCUUAACACAUGCAAGUCGAGCGGAGAUGAGGUGCUUGCACCUUAUCUUAGCGGCGGACGGGUGAGUAGUGCUUAGGAAUCUGCCUAUUAGUGGGGGACAACAUUCCGAAAGGAAUGCUAAUACCGCAUACGGCCUACGGGAGAAAGCAGGGGAUCUUCGGACCUUGCGCUAAGAGAUGAGCCUAAGUCGGAUUAGCUAGUUGGUGGGGUAAAGGCCUACCAAGGCGACGAUCUGUAGCGGGUCUGAGAGGAUGAUCCGCCACACUGGAACUGAGACACGGCCCAGACUCCUACGGGAGGCAGCAGUGGGGAAUAUUGGACAAUGGGGGGAACCCUGAUCCAGCCAUGCCGCGUGUGUGAAGAAGGCCUUAUGGUUGUAAAGCACUUUAAGCGAGGAGGAGGCUACUGAGACUAAUACUCUUGGAUAGUGGACGUUACUCGCAGAAUAAGCACCGGCUAACUCUGUGCCAGCCGCCGCCGUAA
rnacentral:rRNA from 1 species